AGUGAACGCUGGCGGUAGGCCUAACACAUGCAAGUCGAACGGCAGCACAGUAAGAGCUUGCUCUUACGGGUGGCGAGUGGCGGACGGGUGAGGAAUACAUCGGAAUCUGCUUUUUCGUGGGGGAUAACGUAGGGAAACUUACGCUAAUACCGCAUACGACCUACGGGUGAAAGCAGGGGAUCUUCGGACCUUGCGCGAUUGAAUGAGCCGAUGUCGGAUUAGCUAGUUGGCGGGGUAAAGGCCCACCAAGGCGACGAUCCGUAGCUGGUCUGAGAGGAUGAUCAGCCACACUGGAACUGAGACACGGUCCAGACUCCGACGGGAGGCAGCAGUGGGGAAUAUUGGACAAUGGGCGCAAGCCUGAUCCAGCCAUACCGCGUGGGUGAAGAAGGCCUUCGGGUUGUAAAGCCCUUUUGUUGGGAAAGAAAAGCAGCAGGUUAAUACCCCGCUGUUCUGACGGUACCCAAAGAAUAAGCACCGGCUAACUUCGU
rnacentral:rRNA from 1 species